rnacentral:rRNA from 1 species
UACGUAGGGUGCGAGCGUUGCCCGGAUUUAUUGGGCGUAAAGGGCGCGCAGGCGGCCACGCGCGUCCGUUGUGAAAUCGCUCGGCUCAACUGGGCGAGGUCAGCGGAUACGGCGUGGCUGGAGCAAGCUAGGGGGCAAUGGAAUUCCCGGUGUAGUGGUGGAAUGCGUAGAUAUCGAGAGGAACACCUGCGGCGAAGGCGGGUUGCUGGGCUGACACUGACGCUGAUGCGCGAAAGCCAGGGGAGCGAACGGG